CCAGACUCCUACGGGAGGCAGCAGUGGGGAAUAUUGCACAAUGGGGGGAACCCUGAUGCAGCAACGCCGCGUGAGUGAAGAAGUCAUUCGUGAUGUAAAGCUCUAUCAGCAGGGAAGAAAAUGACGGUACCUGACUAAGAAGCCCCGGCUAACUACGUGCCAGCAGCCGCGGUAAUACGUAGGGGGCAAGCGUUAUCCGGAUUUACUGGGUGUAAAGGGAGCGUAGACGGCGAGGUAAGCCUGAAGUGGAAGCCCGCGGCCCAACCGCGGAACUGCUUUGGGAACUGUUUUGCUGGAGUAUGGGAGGGGUAAGCGGAAUUCCUGGUGUAGCGGUGAAAUGCGUAGAUAUCAGGAGGAACACCGGUGGCGAAGGCGGCUUACUGGACUGUAACUGACGUUGAGGCUCGAAAGCGUGGGGAGCAAACAGGAUUAGAUACCCGAGUA
rnacentral:rRNA from 1 species